UGACUCAAAAAAAAAAAAAAAAAAGAAAAAGAAAAAAUAACUCCUUAAUUGGAAUUAUUACUAGAAAUAUUGGAGGGUUCAGGAAAAAAUACAUUCUUGGAAUAACCAAUUUGAGAUUGCUUGCAAUAGGGAAUUCUUACACUUUAGGCCUUUUACUAUUUUGCCCCCUCCCCAUUAAGUGACCUCAGAUGACCUACCCAUCUUUUUUUUUUUUUUUUUUUUUUUGAGACGGAGUCUCGCUGUGUCUCCCAGGCUGGAGUGCAGUGGCGCGAUCUCGGCUCACUGCAAGCUCCGCCUCCCGGGUUCACGCCACUGGGGCUUCAGUGACCAUUAACCAUUGCUGCAACCCAUGUAAUCAUUUCUUACACUGUUGAUGGUGGCAAUGACAAAAUCAAUUGCAGUGCCUAGUGGUGGUGAUGGUAUAGUUUGGGAGAAGAAUGUCUACGAUCUGAGCGAAGAUGAAGCUAGUAAUGGUGGAUAAUGAAGACAGAGGUGCGGACUGUGGUAAAAUUGGUGAUGGUGAUCAUGGAUGGUGUUACACCACUUCCGGUUUAAAGUUUAAACAAGAAGGAAAGUGAAAUCAUAUGGAGAUUCCAUUGAAGGCUGAUGAAUCAGGGCCUAGAGCACGCUGGCAUCCACGCCAAUGAAAAGAGUGUCCCAGGAGCCAUGAUGUUUCUCUAAUGCCAGGGAGUGGCCUUCUUGGAGGUACAGCUGGACUUUUCGAGUGUGGGCCUUUUUCCCUUGGAUCUCAGGCAAAGCCAGGAGCCUGGCCUGGAACCAAAGUUGUUUAUAUAUUGACGAGGUGAAAGAUUUACACCGAGUGAACCUAGGGUUCAAAAUUCACAAACUCCUCACAGUAUGUACACUAGAGCAAAGCUUCCUUUCUGCCCAGCUCUCCUGCCCCACGGCGGCCAGACACCUCUCACUCAUUUUACCUCGUUUCCAGAUAUAAAGUUGUACAUUAUAUGUAUGCUUCUUUUUCUUAUUCUUGGUCUUGGAGACUGGUCCAUAAGUAUAUACUAUACAAAGAGACAACUCCUCAUUUAUUUUUUUAGAGAAAGAGGUCUCAUUAUGUUCCCCAGGCUGGACUCAAUCUCCUGGGCUUAAACAAUCCUCCUACCUCAGCCUCCCAAGUGGCUAAACUACAGACACACCACAGCACUCAGCUGCCUCCUUCAUCUUAGAGUCUCACAUCACCCCGUGGUGGGGGCCCCAUUUUAUGGGUGGACCAUGCUCUACUGAGCAGCCCCAGUUGGGCAUUUAGAUUUCUUCUGAACUUUUAUAGGUCCAUAGUCUCUUAUCCAAACUGUUGGGAUCAGAAGUACAUACAUGUACGGUUGACCUUUGAACAACAUGGGUUUGAACUGCACUGGUCUGAUUUUUCUCAAUAAAAGUCACAAGUUUUGUGCCUGCCUCUCCUGCUCCCCUUCCAUCUCUUCUACCCCUGCCGCCUCUGCCACCCCUGAGACAGCAAGACCAACCCCUCCUCUUCUCCUCCUCAGCCUUCUCAAUGUGAAGACAGCGAGGAUGAAGACCUUUAUGA